rnacentral:lncRNA from 1 species
CAAAACUCAGAAAGGAAAGGAACCUUCUCUCUGUGAGCAGAAGUCUGGGGGAGUUUCUGCUCAGCUCGUCACAUGAUUUUGGACAUUGUGCAUCUCUCCAUAUACCGUCUGUCCCACAAUGAGUGACUUGUGAACCCUAAGUUUGCGCAGCAAUAUGUCAGAAAUGUUGGGCAUCACAUCCAGACCACUCUUGGACUCUUCUUCCUCAGCUGCUGGAGCGAGUUCAGGGUGGCCUGAAGAGCUGCUUCUUAACCAUCCCUUAUUGCAGGUGGAUAGUAUAAGGCUCAAUAAAGUUGGUAGUUUG